rnacentral:lncRNA from 1 species
CUCACUGCCUGUGUGAGUCAAACUCUUGUUAGAGACUUCAAUAUAGGGAUCAUUUGCAUGACAACUUCUAGGCUCGAGUCGUAGUCUCCCUUUUAGUUGUUAUUUCCCUUUGUCUCUAGUUAGGAUAGAAGUUUUUCCCUGUUAAGGGGAACUGCGUCGCCCUGAUCCUCAUACCAGAUGAGGUACGUAGGCAGGAGAUCG